rnacentral:tRNA from 1 species
GGUCUUAUAGUAAAAAAAUAAUAUUAGAUUGCAAAUUUAAAGAUGUGUGUAUGACAC